CAGAGUCUCCGACUCCCAAACCACCGUGAACAUACCUAUAUUCGUUUGCUCCGGCGGGUCGUCCCAGGGGGGACGUCCGCCGAAAGGUGCCCGCCGGAGCUCGCAAAAAAAAAUCUUUACUGCAAAAGUUUCCGAGUUAAAUCACAAAAGUGUCA
rnacentral:misc_RNA from 1 species